AUGUCGACCACCCUGCAUGCGAAACUUGGGUGCAUUGAAAUUGCGUUGCUUUUUGCUGUUCAAAAAAGCAUUCUUAGCAAACACCAAAGAAAAUGGCGUUCUGCUUUUGCAACCAUCUACUGCUCUAGAGCCUUCAACCUUUCUUCUCUAUCCAAACCCAAAUUCACGAACACCAAAAUACCUCGCUCUCCCUCUUAUGCCACUCUUACUGUCGAGCCAGAUAAUGAGUUUGAAAUUGAUCAAACCACCCUCACUGACCUUGUCAAGGAGAGAAGCCUCAACCAGCUCCGGGAGCUGGGAGGGGUUGAAGAAAUAGCAUCAGCUCUCAAAACUGAUGCAGAGCAUGGAAUCCAAGGCUAUGGUGAUGCUCAAGACAUUGCCAAAAGAGUUGAAGCAUUUGGCUCAAACACAUACAUGAAGCCACCAGCAAAAGGGUUCUUCCAUUUUGUUUGGGAAGCUUUCAAAGACCUCACAAUUAUCAUCCUCUUAGGCUGUGCUGCACUCUCUCUUGGUCUCGGGAUCAAAGUGCAUGGCCUUAAAGAAGGCUGGAUCGAUGGUGGAAGCAUAUUUAUCGCAAUCAUUCUGGUGAUUUCUGUGUCGGCUGUAAGUAAUUACAGGCAGAACAGGCAGUUUGAUAAGUUAUCAAAAGUCAGUGACAAUGUCCAAAUUGAAGCUGUGAGAGGCGGCAGGCGCCAACAGAUUUCGAUAUUCGAUAUUGUUGUUGGCGAUGUCAUUUGCUUGAAGAUUGGAGAUCAAGUUCCAGCUGACGGGUUGUUUCUUGAUGGCCAUUCAUUACAAGUAGAUGAAUCAAGCAUGACGGGGGAAAGUGACCAUGUGGAAAUAAAUCAAACCCAAAAUCCAUUCUUGUUCUCUGGCACCAAAGUGGCUGAUGGCUACGCUCGAAUGCUUGUAACUUCUGUGGGCAUGAACACAACUUGGGGUGAAAUGAUGGGCCAAAUCAGCCGUGACACGAAUGAACAGACCCCUUUACAAGCUCGCCUCAACAAGCUAACUUCAUCAAUUGGUAAAGUUGGUUUGGUUGUUGCUUUUCUAGUGCUCAUUGUCUUGUUAGCUAGAUACUUCACAGGAAAUACACAGGAUGAGAAUGGAAAUCAGGAGUAUAAUGGCAGCAAGACCAAAUUUGAUGACAUAUUAAACGCGGUCGUUGAGAUUGUAGCAGCAGCAGUUACAAUUGUUGUGGUGGCAAUUCCAGAAGGCUUGCCUUUAGCUGUGACUCUGACUCUUGCUUAUUCCAUGAAGAGAAUGAUGGUUGAUAAAGCAAUGGUGAGGAAGCUCUCUGCUUGUGAGACCAUGGGCUCUGCUACCGUCAUUUGUACUGACAAAACAGGCACUCUCACCAUGAAUGAAAUGAAGGUGACUAAGUUUUGGUUGGGUGAAGAACCUGUGGCAGAGGAAGCUUUUUCAUCCAUAUCUCCAUAUGUUCUUAAUUUGAUCCAAGAAGGGGUUGCUCUGAAUACAACUGGUAGCAUAUACAGGCCUAGUUCCAAUUCAGAAAUUGAAAUCUCAGGCAGUCCUACUGAGAAGGCUAUUCUUUCAUGGGCGGUACAUGGAUCGAAGAUGGAUAUGCAGAAAGUGGUGAAGAGUUGUAGCAUUCUGUACGUUGAGGCCUUCAAUUCAAAGAAGAAACAAAGCGGGGUUUUGAUGAAGAGGAAGGCUGACAACAAUACAAUUCAAGCACAUUGGAAAGGAGCUGCUGAGAUGAUACUAGCAAUGUGCACAAGUUACUACAAUGCCUCUGGACUUGUUAUAAAUAUGGAUGACAAUGCAAAAAUGAGAUUUGAGCAGAUUAUUCAAGGUAUGGCAGCUAGCAGCCUCAGAUGCAUUGCAUUUGCACAUAAAGAAAUUCCAGCAGAGGAGCAAGUGGAUGAACGAGACCACAAAGCUUUGCUAAAAGAAGAUGGAUUGACUCUAUUAGGACUUGUUGGUCUUAAAGAUCCAUGCCGUCCCGGGGUGAAGGAAGCAGUUGGAGACUGUCAAUAUGCAGGGGUAAAUGUCAAAAUGAUCACAGGUGACAAUGUUUUCACUGCAAAAGCCAUAGCCACAGAAUGUGGGAUACUCAAGCCUAAUCAGGACAUGUUCAGUGGAGCAGUGGUAGAAGGUGUGCAAUUUCGCAACUACACGCCGGAAGAGAGAAUGUUGAAGGUGGACAAAAUCUGUGUAAUGGCAAGGUCCUCCCCAUUUGACAAGCUCCUAAUGGUGCAAUGCUUGAAACAGAAAGGCCAUGUGGUUGCAGUGACAGGUGACGGCACGAAUGAUGCACCUGCUUUGAAAGAAGCUGAUAUAGGACUUUCCAUGGGAAUUCAAGGCACAGAAGUUGCCAAAGAGAGCUCAGAUAUUGUGAUCAUGGAUGACAACUUUGCAUCAGUGGCCACAGUUUUGAAAUGGGGAAGAUGUGUUUACAAUAACAUCCAGAAGUUCAUCCAAUUCCAGCUCACUGUCAAUGUUGCAGCUCUUGUGAUCAACUUUGUAGCAGCAGUUUCAGCAGGUGAAGUCCCAUUAACAGCAGUUCAAUUGCUGUGGGUGAAUUUGAUCAUGGACACACUAGGUGCUCUGGCUCUUGCCACUGAGAAGCCCACAAAAGAACUCAUGGAGAAGAAACCAGUGGGAAGGACUGAGCCUCUCAUCACCAACAUCAUGUGGAGGAACCUCUUGCCUCAAGCACUGUACCAGAUUGCAAUCCUCCUGACCCUGCAAUUCAGAGGCAAAUCAAUCUUUGGUGUGGAUGACAAGGUAAAGGACACCUUGAUCUUCAACACUUUUGUGCUGUGCCAGGUGUUCAAUGAGUUCAAUGCAAGGAAGCUUGAGAAGAAGAAUGUGUUCAAGGGAAUUCACACCAACAAAUUGUUUCUGGGGAUCAUUGCAGUGACAAUUCUGCUUCAGGUGGUGAUGGUGGAAUUUCUCAAGAAGUUUGCAGAUACAGAGAGGUUGAAUUGGGGGCAAUGGGGUGCAUGUAUUGGAAUUGCAGCUGUUUCUUGGCCAAUUGGUUGGGUUGUCAAGUCUAUACCUGUACCAGAGAAACCCAUUUUCAGCUAUCUGAAGAUGAAAAAACAUAAGAAGAACUCCAUUUGA
rnacentral:lncRNA from 1 species